rnacentral:lncRNA from 1 species
GGGCCCUCCAUAUGAAAAUAUCCCAGCUCAUGAAGCAUCACUUGGAUUUAUUUCUGAUAGUGGGAAGACACGUUAUUUAUUAUCUGAUGGACAGCUAUAUUCUUUCGAGCUGUCAAUUGGCAAGUGAUGUGUGGGCACUGGCCCCUAUAAAUAGGGGCCAAAGCUCAGUUGAACUCCACCUUUCAUCUUUCUCUCCUUUGUAAAAAUUUCUUCUCUCCUCUAUCGCCAUAGCACCAAAUUUGGCAGCAAUCAAGGCCAGAGUGAAGGAAUGGAAUGCCUUUGUGAGAGCAGCCUGGAAGAGGGCUAGGCGUGCUUUCUCCUCUCGCAGGGUGCCCUCCACCUCUUGGUCCCCACCAUCUUCUGAGGGUGAACGUACCUCCCAGUUUGAGCAGAUUUCUUUCGAUGUUCGAGUGCGUUGUAUUUAGGAGUUUCGAACUUCUGUGGAGUUCGAGGAGGAGGCUAUCGACAUUAUUGCUAUCACUUUUAUCCUCAAUUUCAAGGAUUGUAAUGCCCACCUAUUGCAGAUAAUGCCGUAC